rnacentral:rRNA from 1 species
CACGCGGUAAACGAUGAGUGCUAGGUGUAGGGGGUAUCGACCCCUCCUGUGCCGCAGCAAACGCAAUAAGCACUCCGCCUGGGGAGUACGGCCGCAAGGUUGAAACUCAAAGGAAUUGACGGGGGCCCGCACAAGCAGCGGAGCAUGUGGUUUAAUUCGACGCAACGCGAAGAACCUUACCAGGUCUUGACAUCGAUCUAAUCCCGUAGAAAUAUGGGGUCCCUUCGGGGGAGAGAAGACAGGUGG